rnacentral:rRNA from 1 species
GUAGGUGGCAAGCGUUGUCCGGAAUUAUUGGGCGUAAAGCGCGCGCAGGCGGUUCUUUAAGUCUGAUGUGAAAGCCCACGGCUCAACCGUGGAGGGUCAUUGGAAACUGGAGAACUUGAGUACAGAAGAGGAAAGCGGAAUUCCACGUGUAGCGGUGAAAUGCGUAGAAAUGUGGAGGAACACCAGUGGCGAAGGCGGCUUUCUGGUCUGUAACUGACGCUGAGGCGCGAAAGCGUGGGGAGCAAACAGGGAUUAGAUACCCUGGUAGUCCACGCCGUAAACGAUGAGUGCUAAGUGUUAGGGGGUUUCCGCCCCCUUAGUGCUGCAGCUAACGCAUUAAGCACUCCGCCUGGGGAUACGGCCGCAAGGCUG